rnacentral:rRNA from 1 species
CGCCUGUUUAUCAAAAACAUUUUUAUUAAAUAUUGUUAAUAAUAAAAUCUGCUCAAUGAAAAUUAAAUAGCCGCAAUCGUGCUAAGGUAGUAUAAUAAUUUGUCUUUUAAUUGAAGACCAAACAAAAGAUUUAACUUUUAAGUCUAUUUCCUUAAAUAAUUACUUAAAUUAUUUUAAUUGUAAAAAAACAAUUAUAAAAAAAGAAGACGAUAAGACCCUAUCGAACUUAACUUAAGUUAAACUGGGGUAGUUAAUAAAUUAUUAUUUUUAUUUAAUUUAAUAAUUAAAUGUUCUAAUAUAAUUAAUUUCAUAAUCAAGUUACCGUAGGGAUAACAGCAUAAUAAAAUUUUCAAGAACUUAUUUAAAAUAAAGUUUAUGACCUCGAUGUUGAAUUAAUAUACUAAUCUACGCAAUAGUUGAUCAAGUAAGUCUGUUCGACUUUUAAAUAAUUACAUGAUCUGAGU